UACGUAGGGUGCAAGCGUUGUCCGGAAUUAUUGGGCGUAAAGGGUUCGUAGGCGGUCUGUCACGUCGGGGGUGAAAACUCAGGGCUUAACCCUGAGCCUGCUUCCGAUACGGGCAGACUAGAGGUAUGCAGGGGAGAAUGGAAUUCCUGGUGUAGCGGUGAAAUGCGCAGAUAUCAGGAGGAACACCAGUGGCGAAGGCGGUUCUCUGGGCAUUACCUGACGCUGAGGAGCGAAAGUGUGGGGAGCGAACAGG
rnacentral:rRNA from 1 species